rnacentral:rRNA from 1 species
AACGAACGCUGGCGGCAUGCCUAACACAUGCAAGUCGAACGAAGGCUUCGGCCUUAGUGGCGCACGGGUGCGUAACGCGUGGGAAUCUGCCCUUUGGUUCGGAAUAACAGCUGGAAACGGCUGCUAAUACCGGAUGAUGACGAAAGUCCAAAGAUUUAUCGCCAGAGGAUGAGCCCGCGUUGGAUUAGGUAGUUGGUGGGGUAAAGGCCUACCAAGCCGACGAUCCAUAGCUGGUCUGAGAGGAUGAUCAGCCACACUGGGACUGAGACACGGCCCAGACUCCUACGGGAGGCAGCAGUGGGGAAUAUUGGACAAUGGGCGAAAGCCUGAUCCAGCAAUGCCGCGUGAGUGAUGAAGGCCCUAGGGUUGUAAAGCUCUUUUACCCGGGAAGAUAAUGACUGUACCGGGAGAAUAAGCCCCGGCUAACUCCGUGCCAGCAGCCGCAGUAACAC